UAAAAUGUACUUCAUAUGAAUUCUAUUUAA
rnacentral:piRNA from 1 species